GGGGGGGGGGAAGAUAAAAAGCAGGCAUUAAUGAGAGAAGAAUUAAACUUAAACACAAAAUAAACUUAAAAUCUAAAAAAAAUGUGAUAAAAAUAAAAACAUGUGCAGGAAAUGAUAAGUAGCCAAAAAAACUUAGAGCAGCAUGAAUACAAUGUUUUUAUAAAAUAUAAAUAAUUGAUUGAAAAAUUGUAAUAAAAAAGAAAAUUACAAUAAUGAUUUUAGUCUCAUCUUUGAUUAUACAGAGAUCAGAAUAUUAAUGGAAAUCCAGAAAUAUAUGUUACUUUUAUGGUGUGUUAUGACAUAUUUUAAAUAUAAUACCUUAUAACAUUAGGGAGUAUUACCACAUGUUUAUCUUACUAGAUGUGGAACAUGCAAACACGUAAAAAGCAUAAAAAACAUUUAUAUUUACAGAACCUAAGCCCCUCACAUAUAUGUAAAGUGUGUAUAUUUAGUAGCAAAGAGACUUCUUUGAAUAAAAAGAAACACUUAGGGAAUAAAUGUCCCGUACAAGAAAUCUAUGAGGGCAAUAAACAUAGAAAUCCAUUGUGACCAAAAAAUAGAUUUCUUAAGAGGAAUAUCUAGUUGGAACUAAUAUCUUGUUGAGAAAUUAACCUUCUAUGUAAAUAAUAUAUUAGAGGAAGCACACUAUAUCUAUGUCUGCGUUAAGACCACCUGGCUCUAAGGAGCCCAAUUGAUGGAUCCAAAAAGUCUCUUCUUAAUGCCUGCUUUUUAUCUUCCCCUCCCUCUCCCCCCUUUUUCUUUGAUAUUUAAUAUGACAUGGACUUAUCAUGGACUCAAUGCACUACAAUGCCUUAUGGGAACUUUGAAAACCGCCAUAUUUGUAGUUGUGAGCCGAUAUGUGUGUUCUUUUUACACAUGAAUAGGAUGAACUCCGCCCACAACCUUGAUUGACACUGAAGACCUCCUAUACAAUUUGGAUACAUCAUUGUGAUUGACGGACGGCCAUCUUGGAAGGGGCAUUUGUGAUUGCAACACAGUCAAAACCGGAUUCAUCGCCAUCUUCUGUGUGGCGGCGUACUUCUGGCCCGGACUGCAGAGGAUUCAAACAGCUAUUAUUAUGUCUGUUUAAUGUUUUUUUGUACUUUUAUUGUAUUAAUAAUGUUGCUUACCCAUAUUACUAUAGUUUGUAUUCAUUUGAAGGAUGUUCGGCCAUCUUGGAUGAGGCAUUUUACACUGUAGUAUGGUCGAAACCGGAUGCGUCGCCAUUUUGAGUGUGGCAAUGUAUUUCCGGUUCGGACCACAUUAGGUUUAGUUAGUAAGUAACACACCUGUAUGUAUUUUUUUUUGUUGUGUUUGUAAGGUAUAUAAACAGCCAGGAGGUCAUCGUUACCUUAGACUGCACCUGAGGAAGACCUGUAUAGAGGUCGAAAUGUGUUGUGUUGCUGCUUCAGCUU